rnacentral:rRNA from 1 species
UACGAAGGGGGCUAGCGUUGCUCGGAAUCACUGGGCGUAAAGCGCACGUAGGCGGCUUCUUAAGUCAGGGGUGAAAUCCUGGAGCUCAACUCCAGAACUGCCGUUGAUACUAUUUGUCUUGAAUAUCCUGGAGGUAGGCGGAAUAUGUCAUGUAGCGGUGAAAUGCUUAGAUAUGACAUAGAACACCGAUAGCGAAGGCAGCUUACUACAGGAUGAUUGACGCUGAGGCACGAAAGCGUGGGGAGCAAACAGG